rnacentral:lncRNA from 1 species
AUUAGGUAACUUUCUCAAGCUCAUAAGUGGCAAUAGUAGGUGGGGAGUAGAUCGAGGAUUCUGACUCAGAAGCUCUUAUUCUUUCCCACUAAUUCGUGGGAAACAGACACAAGGAUGUAAAAGCAGUGACUGUGCCCCGUCACUCACCUGCCACUAAUUUCACAUAGAAGUGCACUUUUCCUUCUCAGAGAGUUUCAGUGGCUUCCCUCUGCCUUUGGAUAAAAUUCAAGUCCAUGUGUCUGGUUCAGGGCCCUUACAUCUAAUGUGCAUUUGCCUUUCACCGUCUCCCACUUCAGCCUCACCUGUCUGUAACUCACUUCACAUGUCCUGACCCCUCACCUGGGUUUCUGUGGUUCUCUCAUCUGAACUAUCCACAUCCAUCCUGCUCUUCACCAUGAGCCGCCGCUUCUGCCGUUAGAAAGACCCUUCAGGGCUGUCCUCUUGCCAAGUCACCUGACCUUCCCAGCCCCUGGGGGUCUCUUCCUUUGCUGAAAUGCUGUGACAUGUAGCCUGCACCUUUCACUGGACAUUUGCCAAAUGCAACCUUGGAUUUUUAUGUAAGGGUCCCAUUGACUGUGACUCACUUCAGCUUAGCCCAUAAAUAAUAGCACAUGCCAUUCAGGGAGCCUGGGCCCAGGAAGCCUGAGAUGGAUGUAAGUUAGGAAACUCCUGGCACAGACCUGUCAAGCAUGACUUCCUAGGGCUGGGAUGGUACUAGAGUCCAGAGGACAAGCAAAGGAUGAGGAACCAGAAAGUCAGCGGACAUUGGAGGCCAGGAAGGAGUAACACUGGGAAAUUGGGAUUAAACACUCAGAAAGAGACUUUGGACUAGAGGUAUCUGAACUGACUAUCAGAACUCCUGCCACGUCUAGAACAACAUCAUCCUUCGAUGUGCAUGUGAUUCACCAGAGGAAGAAGCCAAUGGGACGGGUAUUUGCGGAGCACCCACUGCAGCAUGAGAUGUUAUCCUCAUUUACUGAUGAGAAAAGAAAACUGAAGAUUGCAGAGUAAAAUAACUUGACCAAGUUAAAAUCCU